CAUUAUUUUUAAUGAACUGUUAUUGGCCUGUCCUGCGGUUGGUAUUGCCAACAGUAAAAGGCAUCACCAUGUUUGUAGGUAACACAAGGAACAACAUAUUUUGACCCGAAUUUCUGUUUAUUUUUCAUUUAUGACACAUGGCCUCAUUUUUAUUCCAAACCAGAGGGAAAUAAAGAGAGAUCUAUCUUCACUGGGGUCCAGGCUAAAAUUUUGCCAUAAAUACGCAUGUCGGUUUAUUUGGAGGGCAGUUUUCCAUUAACAGAAAACUAUACUGGACGUUUCAGCCACAGUAGAAUCAAUUGUGUCGAUUGAAUUUGAAGAACCUAGCAACGCACUGCGAGAGGAAAGGCAGGCGUGCAGGCGCUCCCCAGCGGUCGCGCCCUAUGGUUGCUCUCUGGAAUCUUUUCAGCCUCUGGGUUCCUCAUCUUCCCCUUUCGGCUUCCCAGCUUCAAAGGUGCCCCGCCAGGAGUUAUGCGUGCAGACCCUCAGCUUAAAGGCAGGCGGCCACACCCGACCAGCGAGUGUCGCCCAGGCACCUGCUUCUGUCGGGCGGACCCACCCUUCCAGGCGGUUCCGGCGCGCGGUGCCUCCGCAAGCUGCUCACCAAGAGCGCGACGGCCUGGAGCCCAGUAGCACGCGGGCGUGGUGAGCGCUACGCUUCCCGGCGUCAGCCAGGACAGGGUCGGGGAUCUAGAGAUGCCGCCCAGAAGGUGUCGGGCGCCGGAGGAAAGACAAGAGCAGAGCCUGGCACGGAAGAGACAAGGUCUUCUCUGUUGCAGCUGCCGCAGCUAGGUAGCCUCUGUGCCCUCACACUUGGCACAUCAAGACCGCGCCCAUGCUCUAGCCGCCCCGGGAAUCCCAGCUCCGCAAGCCCUGCGGAAGUUCCCCUCUGCUGGAAGUGGGAGCAAGUCCCAAGAGCUGGCUGUCCCUGGAGUUGUCCUCUUGUGGCCCAGCCUCUCCUAGCCUGACUUGGCAAUCGGCCUUCGGCUGCUGCUAAACUCUGAACUCACUUCCUUCUUCCCUCCAACCAGAGCCCACCAAAGUUAACCAGCUGACGAAAGCCCAGGGAUGCCCUAUUCAAAAGCUCUCGGCCGGCCCCCGAAGGAACCAAGGUUUAAGAACAGAACGCGAGGCUGCAGUCCAGUGUUCGGAAACACCAGCUGUCUCUGAGAAUUCUUCCAUCAAAGAGUAAGACCGAUGAAGAGGCUAAUUGCGACAGACGUCUCCAGAAGAGAAAAGCGGCCUGAGUCAGGAUUCUUAUGAGAGGCUGCUCAUAUUCUGAAAAUUAAGGUGGAUAACUGAUUUAGGGGUUGGGAGGAAGAAACACAUCCAGAAAUCCAGAAAUAAAAGUACUACCAUAUGAA